rnacentral:antisense_RNA from 1 species
GAAAGCACGACAUUGCUCACAUUGCUUCCAGUGUUUACUUUAGCCAGCCGGGUGCUGGCUUCUUUUU